GAUGAACGCUGGCGGCGUGCCUAAUACAUGCAAGUCGAGCGAACAGACGAGGAGCUUGCUCCUCUGACGUUAGCGGCGGACGGGUGAGUAACACGUGGAUAACCUACCUAUAAGACUGGGAUAACUUCGGGAAACCGGAGCUAAUACCGGAUAAUAUAUUGAACCGCAUGGUUCAAUAGGGAAAGACGGGUUUGCUGUCACUUAUAGAUGGAUCCGCGCCGCAUUAGCUAGUUGGUAAGGUAACGGCUUACCAAGGCGACCAUGCGUAGCCGACCUGAGAGGGUGAUCGGCCACACGGGAACUGAGACACGGUACAGACUCCUACGGGAGGCAGCAGUAGGGAAUCUUCCGCAAUGGGCGAAAGCUUGACGGAGCAACGCCGCGUGAGUGAUGAAGGUCUUCGGAUCGUAAAACUCUGUUAUUAGGGAAGAACAAAUGUGUAAGUAACUAUGCACGUCUUGACGGUACCUAAUCAGAAAGCCACGGCUAACUACGUG
rnacentral:rRNA from 1 species